GGGAGCCGCAGCCCCGAGCCCGGUCGCCUCACUUGGCGGACGUGAGGCCUGUAGUAAAGAGUAAAGCCUGAGGUAGAUUACCCCUCCCAUCGAGCACGUUAGUUUCCUGCUUACCGCGUAAGCAACCCGCUCAACAAUAUAGUCUGCCUGGCAACUGAUGAUGUUAGCCAAUCAGCUUGCCUUGCUUACUUUAACAUGAUUGGACACUGUAUCCGUAUAUAUACUGGUGCCACCCCUGGGGGGGAAGAAGAAGCCCGGAAGUAGAAGCCCAGAAGGAGCCGCGGGGAGCGGACCAAAGGAGGCUUCGGCUGGGAGCGAUCCCAGGGCAGGCUGUACGGAGAAGGAAAAUAAAAGAAAAGGUUGUCCACUGCCAGGCUUUGUCGUGUGUCCUUCCUGCCGGCCGGGAGCGGACAUCGACAUUUGGAGGCCCGCACGGGGACUGAUCACCCCCGAGACGUGACAGCGGACAACGCUCCAGUACAGAGCUGCGAGACAGGAAUCGGGACGAGAACCACUGUGGGUACCGGAGAGACUGACACGGGCGACAAAGCCCUCGACUGAAGAUCAGACCUGCCCUACCGGAGAUCCAUCACAGACCAACCAACAAGAUGAAUAGAAAUAGCGAUAGCCCGAAAUGGACAAGAAGAUCCUCAGGCAUAUGCAUGGCUCGCUCGCCUAGCCUACGACCGAGUCUAGGGGCGGUGAGCUUCCCACACUCCUCCUCUAAAAAAUUAUGACAUAGCUGGGUAGGAGAGUCAAUGACGGGUAAGAGCGUACUCCCCCGGUGCGACUCAACCUAAGCCAGGCCCUACCCCAUCCUGCACGUAAGCCGCUGGACUGUUAGAUGCUGCCCAGGUCUAAAUUUCUCUCCGAGGGGAUUUCUUUACGGAGAGGAAAUGAGUGCAAGCUUGUGUGCAUCCAGGUUCCGUCCAGUUUGUGCCUGGCCCUAGAAAAAGGACGAGGGCCUCAGGGCCUUGGCAGACCAUGGGACGGCCGACCAGGGUCUAAGCCAAGGACCUACGGUGGGCCUAUGCAUAGGGCAUAAGCCUCUGCACCCAGUCCAGAAAGGGCUACGAUGCGCACAUUCAUAAAAAAUAAAAAAGGGGGAGAUGUUGGGAGCCGCAGCCCCGAGCCCGGUCGCCUCACUUGGCGGACGUGAGGCCUGUAGUAAAGAGUAAAGCCUGAGGUAGAUUACCCCUCCCAUCGAGCACGUUAGUUUCCUGCUUACCGCGUAAGCAACCCGCUCAACAAUAUAGUCUGCCUGGCAACUGAUGAUGUUAGCCAAUCAGCUUGCCUUGCUUACUUUAACAUGAUUGGACACUGUAUCCGUAUAUAUACUGGUGCCACCCCUGGGGGGGAAGAAGAAGCCCGGAAGUAGAAGCCCAGAAGGAGCCGCGGGGAGCGGACCAGAGGAGGCUUCGGCUGGGAGCGAUCCCAGGGCAGGCUGUACGGAGAAGGAAAAUAAAAGAAAAGGUUGUCCACUGCCA